rnacentral:rRNA from 1 species
GAUCGGUGGUCAAAAGGGAAACAACCCAGAUCGUCAGUUUAGGAUCCCAAAGUGUAAGUUAAGUGGGAAAGGAUGUGAGAUUUCUAAGACAACUAGGAUGUUGGCUUAGAAGCAGCCAUUCAUUAAAAGAGUGCGUAGUAGCUCACUGGUCGAGAGAUCUUGCGCCAAAAAUGUAACGGGGCUAAACUUACCACCGAAGCUACGGGCUUGAGCAUAGUUCAAGUGGUAGGAGAGCGUCGUAACCGGGCUGAAGUCAUACCGUAAGGAGCGGUGGACUGGUUACGAGUGAGAAUGUUGGCAUCUCUAGCAAGAUGUGGGUGACAAUCUCAGAGGCUGAAAACCUAAUGUUUCCUCGGGUAGGUACGUCCGUCUGAUGGUUAGUCGGGACCUUUGCCAAGGCCGAAUGGCGUAGGUGAUGGACAACUGGUUGAUAUUCCAGUGCCUCUACCAUCCAUAUUAUCGAUGGCGUGACGCAUGCUGAUAGAGUGUGCUCACUAUUGGAUGCUUGGUCUUGCGUUUAGGUAGUGAGAGUAGGCAAAUCCGCUCUCAUCAUGCUGAGGCGUUAUAGGAAAGGUGCUAUUGUAUUUAAGUAUAUGAUUCCACGCCUUCUAUAAAAGCGUCUAGUAGAGAGAAUAGUUGCUCUUACUCUUUACUGACACACGUUGGUGAUGCAAGAAUCCUUAAUGCAGGUGGAACACUUCAAGUUAAUGAAUUCUACCAAAUUACCCUGAUAAUUUUUCAGAAGGUGGUGC